ACGAACGCUGGCGGCGUGCCUAAUACCUGCAAGUUGAGCGAUGAAGAUUGGUGCUUGCCCCAAUUUGAAGAGCAGCGAACGGGUGAGUAACGCGUGGGGAAUCUGCCUUUGAGCGGGGGACAACAUUUGGAAACGAAUGCUAAUACCGCAUAAUAACUUUAAACAUAAGUUUUAAGUUUGAAAGAUGCAAUUGCAUCACUCAAAGAUGAUCCCGCGUUGUAUUAGCUAGUUGGUGAGGUAAAGGCUCACCAAGGCGAUGAUACAUAGCCGACCUGAGAGGGUGAUCGGCCACAUUGGGACUGAGACACGGCCCAAACUCCUACGGGAGGCAGCAGUAGGGAAACUUCGGCAAUGGACGAAAGUCUGACCGAGCAACGCCGCGUGAGUGAAGAAGGUUUUCGGAUCGUAAAACUCUGUUGGUAGAGAAGAACGUUGGUGAGAGUGGAAAGCUCAUCAAGUGACGGUAACUACCCAGAAAGGGACGGCUAACUACGUG
rnacentral:rRNA from 1 species